UACGAAGGGUGCAAACGUUGCUCGGAAUUAUUGGGCGUAAAGCGCACGUAGGCGGCUUUUCAAGUCGGAUGUGAAAUCCCUCGGCUUAACCAAGGAAGUGCAUCCGAAACUGGAGAGCUUGAGUACUUAAGAGGAUCGCGGAAUUCCCGGUGUAGAGGUGAAAUUCGUAGAUAUCGGGAGGAACACCAGUGGCGAAGGCGGCGACCUGGUCCUUGACUGACGCUGAGGCGCGAAAGCGUGGGGAGCAAACGGG
rnacentral:rRNA from 1 species